rnacentral:rRNA from 1 species
UAAUACGUAGGUGGCGAGCGUUGUCCGGAAUUACUGGGUGUAAAGGGCGUGUAGGCGGGAUUGCAAGUCAGAUGUGAAAUUCCGAGGCUUAACCUCGGCGCUGCAUCUGAAACUGUGAUUCUUGAGUACUGGAGAGGAAAGUGGUAUUCCUAGUGUAGCGGUGAAAUGCGUAGAUAUUAGGAGGAACACCAGUGGCGAAGGCGACUUUCUGGACAGUAACUGACGCUGAGGCGCGAAAGCGUGGGGAGCAAACAGG